AUUGAACGCUGGCGGCAUGCUUUACACAUGCAAGUCGAACGGCAGCGCGGGGCAACCUGGCGGCGAGUGGCGGACGGGUGAGUAAUAUAUCGGAGCGUACCCUGGAGUGGGGGAUAACGUAGCGAAAGUUACGCUAAUACCGCAUACGAUCUAAGGAUGAAAGUGGGGGAUCGCAAGACCUCAUGCUCCUGGAGCGGCCGAUAUCUGAUUAGCUAGUUGGUGAGGUAAAGGCUCACCAA
rnacentral:rRNA from 1 species